GGGAACCUUUAACCAGAGCCCAAAACAAAUUAGCAAACAGAAUAGCUCUGGCUACAAGGAGGGUGAUAGCAGAACUCUGGGGUUCCCCGGAGGUCCCCACUUUAGCCACAAUCAUCCGCAAAACCAGGGAAGCCAUUGAAAUGGACAGAAUCUCAGCCCUAGUCCAUGAAACGUCAGGCCACUUUCACAAAAUUUGGGACCCGUGGCUGAGCGAGCCGGCGCUGAAUCCGUCGAACCUG